AGGGUUGGGGCCCUGGGGCCUUACCCCCAACCUGCUCCCCUAUCCCUUCCCUUGGACUACCCAUCUCCAACUCUGCUAUGCUGCCCACCUCCCACCAGGCUCCCCCAUCCUGUCAAGGGCCCUCACACCUACACAUGCUUCUUCUGAGCCCAUUUACUGGAACUUGUAAACACAGACUCCUUUCUUUCCUGCCACACCCGCUUCUGGGCUAUAAACACCACAAGAACAGGAACCAGAUGAGCGUUCAGACCCUGGAUCCUCCCCAUGGGCAGUCCUCCUUAAACACUGGAUGAAUAACUGAGAAGCCUCCAAGGCUGGGCUCUCCUGGGCUGCCUUCCCUCCCGACUGCCUGCUCCAGGUCUCAUCGUCUCAGGACCCGGGAAAAAGUCCCAUUGCCAUGAAGGCCCCGUGAGAGGAAGGCUGGGCUUUGGCGUCAGAAAGGCCGAGGUUUAAGUGCUCUCCAGCUGCUUACAUGCUGAGUGGCUGUGGAUGCUCUUGCUGCCUCUUCCCAUUCCCUCAGCAUGCUGGCUGAACUUCCCACAGCCAGCACCUGUGAGUCUUCACUCGAGGCUUCUCUCUUGGGCUGCACUGUCCAAAUACAGGUUGCCCUCCAACUGGCUGAGGACCCCUCGGUGCCUUCCCACUCUUCAGUCAUGGUAGGUACACCCCUGCCCUUCCAGCCUUUCCCACCAGGAGUUUCACAGCCUCCUGGAACCAGCGCCUGCCUCUCAGGGAGGUGCUCAGAUUCCUCACAGAUGAAGCCAGAGACACAGUGUGAGCUUUUCUGGCUGGAGUUUAUCUGCUUGAUACAUUACCAAAAUCAUAAGAACGCAACAGGAUCACCAGGGCCAGGUCUCACGGGUUCCUGCUUCGACAUGGUGUUUUGAGUGUAGGGGCUGCUGGAGGCAGGGAGGGAGAGACUUACACAGAGGGACACAGACACAGAAUGAGAGAGACAGACAGGCAAAGAGACAAACGGAGACAAAGACAGAGGCAAAGAGAGAUCAAGGGUCUGCAAUAUUUCAAGGAUGUUUCACUCUUGGAGUUUGGUGGGAAAACAAGAAUCAGAGUGGAAAGGCCCCUUGGGGGAGGAAACAGGAUCUAAAGAUGGCUAAGAUUUCACUGAUGAAGGUCAGUGAGCUUGCUCUUGAAAACAGGCUUGUCCUGGCUGGGCAUGGUGGCUCAUGCCUGCAAUCCCAGCACUUUUGGAGGCUGAGG